CCCGCUGAACUUAAGCAUAUCAAUAAGCGGAGGAAAAGAAACUAACAAGGAUUCCCCUAGUAACUGCGAGUGAAGAGGGAAAAGCUCAAAUUUAGAAUCUGGCGGUCUUUCGGCCGUCCGAGUUGCAAUCUGGAGAAGCGUUUAUCCGGGUGGGAUCGGGACCAAGUCUUCGGGUACGGAGCGUCAUAGAGGGUGAGAAUCCCGUCUUUGACACAGACUACCAGUGCUUUGGUGAGGCGUUCUCAAAAAGCCAAGUGGUUGGGAAAUGCGGUUCAAAAGGGAUGGAAAAUUCCAUCUAAGGUUAAUUAUGGGGAAAAGACCAAUAGCAAACAAGUCCCGGGGGGAAAAAAUGAAAAGAACUUUGAAAAGAAAGUUAAACAGUCCGGGAAAUUGUUGAAAGGAAAACAUUGGAGGUCGGCCGCGCUGCCUGAAAUUCAGCCUAGCUUCCGCUGGUGGCACUUCUCGUGUGACGGGCCAUCAUCAUUUUCAACGGCGGGAUAGGGGCAGAGGAAUCUUGAUAUCUUUCAAGGUGAGAGAUACUCCUCGAAUCCCAUACUGGAAUUGGAAUGGAAGAACUCGCCGCGGCUGUAUGGGCGGUGUAGCCACCCUCGUUACGCGCUCCUGAUGCUGGCAUAAUGGCUUUAAGCGACCCGUCUUGAAACACGG
rnacentral:rRNA from 1 species